rnacentral:rRNA from 1 species
AUUGAACGCUGGCGGCAUGCUUUACACAUGCAAGUCGAACGGUAACAGGCCUUCGGGUGCUGACGAGUGGCGAACGGGGGAGUAAUGCAUCGGAACGUACCCCGAGGUUGUGGGUAACGCAGCGAAAGCGGUGCUAAUACCGCAUGUGAUCUGAGGAUUAAAGCGGGGGGCCGAGCAGCAAUGUUUGGCUUCGCGCCUUUGGAACGGCCGAUGUCGGAUUAGCUAGUUGGUGAGGUAACGGCCUACCAAGGCGACGAUCCGUAGCUGAUCUGAGAGGACGAUCAGCCACACUGGAACUGAGACACGGCCCAGACUCCUACGGGAGGCAGCAGUGGGGAAUCUUGGACAAUGGGCGCAAGCCUGACCGAGCAACGCCGCGUGAGUGAAGAAGGCCUUCGGGUUGUAAACCUCUUUUAGCCGGAACGAAAAGGUGUGCGCGAAUACCGGGCGGUAAUGACGGUACCUGAACAAUAAGCCCCGGCUAACUACGUG